GAGAGCUCCUGCCAUGCUGACUCAGUGGGGAGACUGGAAAGAGCAGAAUCAUCGCACUCAGGGGACUCUCUCGGGACUCCUGUCACCCGUGCUUCAUAGAUAUUGUCGCACACGCAAGCCUCCAGACUGCCUGGAUUUAAAACCAGCCUUGUCCACCAUCCAGCUGUGUGCCACUCAUGGGACUUCUCCAGGACUCAGUUUUCCUGUCUGUAAAAUGGGAACAUCAUUGGAACUUCCCCCAACUGCUGAGAACAUCACACCAGGCCUCACACAGUGAGUCCCGAGAAAUGGCCGCACCUCCAAUGAACAGGCCUGGGCCAGCUUGUCAGGUGAUGACAGAGCACAAGGACCAGGCUGAGUCAUCGUAGCUGCGUCCGUCCUGGACCAGCCGCCUGAUCUCAGCCACGAUCGAAGGAGCCAUCCAGCUGAUUCCAGCCUACGUUGAUGACCUGUAGAGUCGUGAGCUACAUAAAUGGCUUUUAGAAAAAACCCACUGCUAAAUUUGGGAUUGUUCAUCAUGUGGCCAUCGCCGACACUUUAUUUCAAGCCCCCCAAAUAAAGAUGAGAGGAAGCACUUAGGAUUCAAGGCUGGAACUCGGAUUAGAGGUUUGGGUGGGAGAAAAUAAAUUGGUGAGUUUUCUGGAUAGAGGAAAAGAAGUUUG